AAUAACUUAGAUCAAACCAAACCACAUCAUCUUAUCCGUGUCGAACCGCCCGGCCCGGUCCGGUCCGUGGAUCACCGGCGCUGCUUAUAAAUGCGGUCCGCUUCCCCCACUGCCACCGACACCUCUCCAUCGCCCUUAACAAGCGGAGGAGUCCGAAAUGGGAGGCACUCCGCUGCUCGGUGCCCGUACGAACCGCCUCGCCGCUUCCCUCUUCGUCCUCUAUCUGAUGGGAACCGGUAUUAAACUCACCAUGAUCUUUUGUUCAUUGCUGUCACUUUUGAUGAUGCUGUAAUCCUCUUAAGUGACAUUGUUUCGAUACUACUGAUGCUUCUCGUACCACCAAUGGGUGAGACAAGCAGUAGAUUAAGUGUUCGCGCCGUCGUGCCUUUCAGAUUCAACAAGACUGAACUUUUAUCCCAUCCUCCUACCUUCCAUCGUACCUUUCAGGUGGGAGGGAACGUCGGCAAGUCGGGCAUUCCAUCUUAAUGUCCAUCCAUCUCUGUAAGCAUCCAGUAUGGAAGCAGUGAUCGCAUGGUGUAACCUGUGGGAGUAGAGCUUAACUGUAAGUCUAUGGCAACAGCAUUUUGGUUUCAGGGGGGGAAAAUGGAACUCUCAAUACCAUGUAAUCAUUCAGACGUUGUGGAAGUUCGAUACCAGUCAUGCAAAUCACACAAUCAACUGCUUGAUUACUGUGGUUCCCGAGCUUUCGGUAGUAGUUAUAUUUCUCCGGUAGGAUCUGUAAAUCACAGGCAGUAAAUAGUUGUACAAGCCAACUUAUGAAGCCUUGUGCAACUCCAGAAAGAACCAUCAACCGAGAAAAAGAACAUUUGAAGUCUUUUCAGUAGAAUUUGAUAAAGACAUACCUGACGGGGAAUAAACCACCGGGAUCCAAAAUAAUUCUGAAGCAGAAGGAUCAGUGCUUGCAAUGUCAUAAACAACAAGAAAGAUACACACCAACUUCGGUCGAUCUGAAUUCGCAGAAAGUUGUUCGGGCAACCAAAUAUGUAUAGUGGAAUUGCAGUACGAGUGAGCGUCAUGCCUAUUAUGUAAUGAGGGUGCAGGGGUUUUCUUGUAUCCCGGACGACAUUAGUGAUUAUCUGAGGGAUCCAAAACGAGUACAUAACUAAAAGAAUAGGACGAAGGAAAUUGUGCAGCUCAUACAUGAAGAGAACUCCUCCCAAAAGAAUGCCAU